GGGCACUUGGCACAGUUGGUAGCGCGCACGCUUCGCAUUCAUAGAACUGCGUGAGGUCAGGAGUUCGACUCUCCUAGUGUCCA
rnacentral:tRNA from 1 species